UACGUAGGGGGCUAGCGUUGUCCGGAAUCAUUGGGCGUAAAGCGCGUGUAGGCGGCCCGGUAAGUCCGCUGUGAAAGUCGGGGGCUCAACCCUCGGAUGCCGGUGGAUACUGUCGGGCUCGAGUACGGAAGAGGCGAGUGGAAUUCCUGGUGUAGCGGUGAAAUGCGCAGAUAUCAGGAAGAACACCAGUGGCGAAGGCGGCUUUCUGGGACGGUACUGACGCUGAGACGCGAAAGCGUGGGGAGCGAACAGG
rnacentral:rRNA from 1 species